rnacentral:rRNA from 1 species
GAGUUUGAUCAUGGCUCAGAACGAACGCUGGCGGCAUGCCUAACACAUGCAAGUCGAACGGGAUCCUAGCUUGCUAGGUGAGAGUGGCGGACGGGUGAGUAACACGUGGGAACCUGCCUUUUGGUUCGGGAUAACCGCGGGAAACUGCGGCUAAUACCGAAUGCCCUCGUGAGAGGAAAGAUUUAUCGCCAGAAGAGGGGCCCGCGUCCGAUUAGGUAGUUGGUGGGGUAAAGGCCUACCAAGCCGACGAUCGGUAGCUGGUCUGAGAGGAUGAUCAGCCACACUGGGACUGAGAUACGGCCCAGACUCCUACGGGAGGCAGCAGUGGGGAAUAUUGGACAAUGGGGGCAACCCUGAUCCAGCAAUGCCGCGUGAGUGAUGAAGGCCUUAGGGUUGUAAAGCUCUUUUGCCAGGGAAGAUGAUGACUGUACCUGGAGAAUAAGCCCCGGCUAACUUCGUGCCAGCAGCCGCCGCUGU